rnacentral:rRNA from 1 species
ACUCAAAUGAAUUGACGGGGGCCCGCACAAGCAGUGGAGUAUGUGGUUUAAUUCGAAGCAACGCGAAGAACCUUACCAGGGCUUGACAUCUACUGAACCUUACGGAAACGUAGGGGUGCCUUUUUGGAGCAGUAAGACAGGUGGUGCAUGGUUGUCGUCAGCUCGUGUCGUGAGAUGUUGGGUUAAGUCCCGCAACGAGCGCAACCCCUAUCGUUAGUUGCCAGCAUUUGGUUGGGCACUCUAGCGAGACUGCCGGUGACAAAUCGGAGGAAGGUGGGGACGACGUCAAAUCAUCAUGCCCCUUAUGUCCUGGGCUACACACGUACUACAAUGGCUGUUAACAGAGGGAAGCGAAGUCGCGAGGCGGAGCAAAUCCCCAAAUGCAGCCUCAGUUCAGAUUGCAGGCUGAAACUCGCCUGUAUGAAGUAGGAAUUGCUAGUAAUCGCGAAUCAGCAUGUCGCGGUGAAUACGUUCCCGGGCCUUGUACACACCGCCCGU